AGGCCUUGGCCAAGGUGGCAUGUAGGAAGGUAGGCAUGCAGGCAGGCUGAUGAGGAUGUUGUUGCCUCGUUCUCCUGCUCCGCCCCUUCUGCUCAUACGUGUAAGACAAUGAGCAAAGGAUCACGAUGAACGUAUCUGCUAACCUUGAUGCCUCGUUCUGAGGUUCUUCAAACCCACCCGAGGUCAUAGAUAACAAAUCAGUCCAUCUGAGAUCAAUUUGGGAGACGAAAUGAGCCUCAACCUCGAGGGUCAUUGAGGUCACCUGAGUUCGAAACUUGCCCUGAAAGCCAAGAAGAAGAAAAAAAGAAUCCCGCCUAUGAAUGCCCAUAACAAUUUCUUUUCUUUUGGGGAUGGGACAAGGAGUGUCAGAUUGAAGUCUGGCUUGAUCCAUGAGGGGAUUUGUCUUGGAAAGUAAAUGGAUGAAUCGCUUUUGGAUGAGAGGGCGAUUUUCUCGAUCGAGGCGGGCGGCGGCAUUUUGAGAAAUGUUCCGAGGCAUGAAAUUGACGGCUCAUUGACUUGACACAACAGACACGCCCAAAUCUCGGGACCUGAGAUGGAGCCGCAACAUCAAAGGGACACAUUUUCCGACCCGAGUUCGUCCAGAAACAUCGAUCAGACAAGUUAUUUGAUGUUAAAUAUCGUAUUCACAUCACAUCAACGGUUUGCCUGAUUUCUUUCGACACUUUUUUGUUGUUUUACCCGUACUUUUCACUUACGUUUUUCACUUAAAGCUCAACAACUAUAAAGGAUUUGUCGAUGACAAAUCUAGACAGCUGUUGUAUAAUUCUGACCAUUCUAAACGUUCACUUUAUUUCGAUCUAUGUGUACAAUAUUAAGCACAUACUUAUGCACUAACCAAUACUCUUUAUACUCACCCAUGGUGAUUUGAGUGGUAUCCACAAUAAACAAUAAACAAUAAAUAUAUUGUACGAAUGGACAUGACCGAGAGUCGCAAUGAAGGUUAUCAUUGUUAUUAUUUUUGAAAACAUGUUUUCUUGUUGCAACUUGUUAUCACAACAUAAGCAAUUCUCGGAAUUCGUUUCAAAUUCACAUUCCAAAAGUGAACAGAUAUGAACCCUUGGGUCAGCUAAGUGGGCCAAUAUUGUGUGAGUGGUAUUGUAGUGCUUCUCUUAAAUUUCAAUUGAUGUGAUCAAUCUCUAAUAAGAGCACAAAAGGUGUCAGGUUCACAUUCAGAAACGCCGCUUCUCUUCUGACCUCCAGGCUCAUGUCGUGUUUGUUCGUGAAGUUUUCACACACAGUAUCAAGAGCUCCAUCCAAUUUGGUUGAUUAAUCAGCCAUCUGUGU